GGCACCACCAGGCGUGGAGCCUGCGGCUUAAUUUGACUCAACACGGGGAAACUCACCAGGUCCAGACAAAAUAAGGAUUGACAGAUUGAGAGCUCUUUCUUGAUCUUUUGGAUGGUGGUGCAUGGCCGUUCUUAGUUGGUGGAGUGAUUUGUCUGCUUAAUUGCGAUAACGAACGAGACCUUAACCUGCUAAAUAGCCCGGUCGGCGUCUGCCGGCCGCUGGCUUCUUAGAGGGACUAUCGACUCAAGUCGAUGGAAGUUUGA
rnacentral:rRNA from 1 species